GGGGAUUAUGAGCUUUCCUGUCCCAUAAUGAGCCUGUGGGAUUUGCUUAAACAGAAGGGAGGGUGCCUCUAGAGACAGGCUGUCUUGAUUUUGGAAAAAUAUGUCUGAGUGUUGGGCUCUAGAACAGAAGCAGAAAGGCCUACUUGUAUUUAGGGGCUCCAGACUGAGCCAGGAGCAGGUGGGGACAGAGGCCAUUGCAGGGACCUGGGCUACUAAAAGAAAAGGCCUGGCAGCUGGAGCUGUUGACAUGGUUGGUCAGCCCCAUGAGCACUGUCCUGGGAGGCCUCAGCAAUGUCGGGGUAGGAGGCACUUGAGGAGGCGUGGGUGUUUAGGCGUCACCUCCGAGGACUGGGGUUGGGCGUUCUUCCUGGAGGUUUCCAGCUGUGGCUACUUCUUCCAUUCUCUCUCCCCAGUGUCCCCCGAGCGCUACAGUAAUGGCAGUGCCGCCUCUUCUUCCAAAAGCGCAGAGGGCAGCUGCCGGCGUCGGCGACAGCCAAGCAGUUCUUCUCAGCAGAGUCAGUGGGACACGGGCUCCCCUCCAACCAAACGGCAGCGUCGGAGUCGGGGCCGCCCUAGCAGUGGUGCCAGGCGGCGGCAGAGAGCAGGGCCGGCAGCGGAGCAGCAGCAGCACCAGGAGCUGGGCAGGCCCUCAUCAGAAGGAAAAGUGACCUGUGCUUGAGUCGAAGCAGACUGCCUGAUGUCUCUCACCAGCCCUCUGGUAGAACCUCAGCAGGAAACAGAAGGGACCACAGCUGGAACUGUGAAGAUAAUUGAAUGAACUAUUGGCAGAGGUGUGGGGAGC
rnacentral:lncRNA from 1 species